UACGAAGGGGGCUAGCGUUGCUUGGAAUCACUGGGCGUAAAGCGCACGUAGGCGGCUUCUUAAGUCAGGGGUGAAAUCCUGGAGCUCAACUCCAGAACUGCCUUUGAUACUGAGAAGCUUGAGUCCGGGAGAGGUGAGUGGAACUGCGAGUGUAGAGGUGAAAUUCGUAGAUAUUCGCAAGAACACCAGUGGCGAAGGCGGCUCACUGGCCCGGUACUGACGCUGAGGUGCGAAAGCGUGGGGAGCAAACAGG
rnacentral:rRNA from 1 species